rnacentral:rRNA from 1 species
AGGUUAAGUUAGAAAGGGCGCACGGUGAAUGCCUUGGCACUAGGAGCCGAUGAAGGACGGUACUAACACCGAUAUGCUUCGGGGAGCUGUAAGUAAGCUUUGAUCCGGAGAUUUCCGAAUGGGGAAACCCCCUAUCCGUAAUGGGAUAGGAUCCUUACCUGAAUACAUAGGGUAUGGAAGGCAGACCCGGGGAACUGAAACAUCUAAGUACCCGGAGGAAGAGAAAGCAAACGCGAUUCCCUGAGUAGCGGCGAGCGAAACGGGAUUAGCCCAAACCAGGAGGCUUGCCUCCUGGGGUUGUAGGACACUCUAUACGGAGUUACAAAGGAACGAGGUAAAUGAACAGGUCUGGAAAGGCCGGCCAGAGAAGGUAAAAGCCCUGUAGUUGAAACUUCGUUCCCUCCAGAGUGGAUCCUGAGUACGGCGGGACACGAGAAAUCCCGUCGGAAGCAGGGAGGACCAUCUCCCAAGGCUAAAUACUCCCUAGUGACCGAUAGUGAACCAGUACCGUGAGGGAAAGGUGAAAAGCACCCCGGAAGGGGAGUGAAAGAGAUCCUGAAACCGUGUGCCUACAAGUAGUUAGAGCCCGUUAAUGGGUGAUAGCGUGCCUUUUGUAGAAUGAACCGGCGAGUUACGAUUACAUGCGAGGUUAAGUUGAUAAGACGGAGCCGCAGCGAAAGCGAGUCUGAA